AAAACAGUGGACUAAGCGCUGCAACUUCUGGAGAGGGUUGCGUAUCACAACUACGAGUGGUCAAAUGAAAGGGGAAAUACAAGGAGAACAGCAGAGAUCCUGAGAGCGGAUGCCCUAAGCAUGAUAAAUGCUCAAUUUGACCAGCUCACAAGAAGGCUUGAUAGAAUGCAAGCCAAUGCUAUAGGGAUGAACAGUCAACACGAUGACAGCUGU
rnacentral:misc_RNA from 1 species